rnacentral:rRNA from 1 species
GACGAACGCUGGCGGCGUGCCUAACACAUGCAAGUCGAACGGAGAAUCAGCAAUGGUUCUUAGUGGCGAACGGGUGAGUAACGCGUAGACAACCUGCCUUCUAGAUGGGGACAACACUGCGAAAGUGGUGCUAAUACCGAAUGUUGUAAUAAGCCUGCAUGGGCUUGAUACUAAAGGUGGCCUCUAUUUAUAAGCUACCACUAGAAGAUGGGUCUGCGUCUGAUUAGCUAGUUGGUGAGGUAAUGGCUCACCAAGGCGAGGAUCAGUAGCCGGUCUGAGAGGAUGAACGGCCACACUGGGACUGAGACACGGCCCAGACUCCUACGGGAGGCAGCAGUGGGGAAUCUUCCGCAAUGGACGAAAGUCUGACGGAGCAACGCCGCGUGAGUGAAGAAGGUUUUCGGAUCGUAAAGCUCUGUCUUUGAGGACGAAUGUGUUUAAUGUGAAUAAUGUUAAAUAAUGACGGUACUCGAGGAGGAAGCCACGGCUAACUACGUGCCAGCAGCCGCGGUAA